rnacentral:siRNA from 1 species
GACAAGCUAACAAGAGAUGGAAG